rnacentral:rRNA from 1 species
UACGAAGGGGGCUAGCGUUGCUCGGAAUUACUGGGCGUAAAGCGCACGUAGGCGGCUUCUUAAGUCGGUGGUGAAAUCCUGGAGCUCAACUCCAGAACUGCCUUCGAUACUGGGAAGCUCGAGUCCGGGAGAGGUGAGUGGAACUGCGAGUGUAGAGGUGAAAUUCGUAGAUAUUCGCAAGAACACCGGUGGCGAAGGCGGCUCACUGGCUCAUUUCUGACGCUCAGGCGCGACAGCGUGGGGGAUCAAACAGG